AGCAGCCGCGGUAAUUCCAGCUCCAAUAGCGUAUAUUAAAGUUGUUGCAGUUAAAAAGCUCGUAGUUGAAUUUCGGGAUUGGCGCAUCGGUCGUGCCUCACGGGGUAUGAACUGGUGCAGUCAAUUUCUCACCUUCUGGAGAACCGCGAUGUCCUUAAUUGGAUGCCGCGGGGAACCAGGACCUUUACUUUGAAAAAAUUAGAGUGUUUAAAGCAGGCAUUUUUGCUUGAAUACAUUAGCAUGGAAUAAUAAAAUAGGACGGCAAUGGUUCUAUUUUGUUGGUUUCUAGGACCACCGUAAUGAUUAAUAGGGAUAGUUGGGGGCAUUAGUAUUCAAUUGUCAGAGGUGAAAUUCUUGGAUUUAUUGAAGACUAACUACUGCGAAAGCAUUUGCCAAG
rnacentral:rRNA from 1 species